AGUCAAAAGAGACAGCUAUUGAGUACUUCAAAUCCGUCAGAAGAAGGCGUGACCAGUUUUGAAAGGGAAGGUGACAAAGAUUCAGAGAGACUCGUGUUGCAGAGAAAA